GUAAGUACUCGAAACUCUCUUAAGAACACUAUAGGACACAAUUCUUAAGAGUUCACGGCAUUACUUGUUAACACUAGUGUAAUUAAUUAAUUUCGCUAUAAAUUACUAACUUGAGCGUCGAAGACGUUUAAAUCUAUUUUGCAGGUACCACCCCAAAGGUAGGGGGAAUUAUGAAGUUUUAGCACAAAAUAAUCGACUAUUUCAAGCCACUAAUCGAUUNNNN
rnacentral:lncRNA from 1 species